rnacentral:rRNA from 1 species
UAGUUGGUGGAGCGAUUUGUCUGGUUAAUUCCGUUAACGAACGAGACCUCAGCCUGCUAAAUAGCUAUGUGGAGGUAACCCUCCAUGGCCAGCUUCUUAGAGGGACUAUGGCCGCUUAGGCCACGGAAGUUUGAGGCAAUAACAGGU